rnacentral:rRNA from 1 species
ACGGGCGCAGCAGGCGCGAAACCUUUACACUGCACGACAGUGCGAUAGGGGAUCCCAAGUGCACAGGCAUAGCGCCUGUGCUUUUCGGCACCUAAGGCGGUACCAGAAUAAGGGUGGGCAAGACCGGUGCCAGCCGCCGCGGUAAUACCGGCAGCCCAAGUGAUGGCCGAUCUUAUUGGGCCUAAAGCGUCCGUAGCUGGCCGCGCAAGUCCAUCGGGAAAUCCACUGCUCAACAGGUGGGCGCCCGGUAGAAACUGCGUGGCUUGGGACCGGAAGGCGCGACGGGUACGUCCGGGGUAGGAGUGAAAUCCCGUAAUCCUGGACGGACCGCCGAUGGCGAAAGCACGUCGCGAGAACGGAUCCGACAGUGAGGGACGAAAGCCAGGGUCUCGAACCGGAUUAGAUACCCGGGUAGUCCUGGCCGUAAACAAUGUCUGCUAGGUGUGGCUCCCACUACGAGUGGGUGCUGUGCCGUAGGGAAGCCGCUAAGCAGACCGCCUGGGAAGUACGUCCGCAAGGAUGAAACUUAAAGGAAUUGGCGGGGGAGCACUACAACCGGAGGAG